rnacentral:rRNA from 1 species
AUUUAUCGGAGAGUUUGAUCCUGGCUCAGGACGAACGCUGGCGGCGUGCCUAAUACAUGCAAGUCGAGCGGACAGAUGG